CCUGGCGGCUGUAGCGCGGUGGUCCCACCUGACCCCAUGCCGAACUCAGAAGUGAAACGCCGUAGCGCCGAUGGUAGUGUGGGGCCUCCCCAUUCG
rnacentral:rRNA from 1 species